GAGGCGAACCGGGGGAACUGAAACAUCUAAGUACCCCGAGGAAAAGAAAUCAACCGAGAUUCCGAAAGUAGCGGCGAGCGAAAUUGGACUAGCCCUUAAGCUUUACACGCGUUAGACGAACGGUCUGGAAAGUCCGACGAUACAGGGUGAUAGUCCCGUAGUUGACGACGUGUGUUCAGUGAAAUCGAGUAGGGCGGGACACGUGAUAUCCUGUCUGAAUAUGGGGGGACCAUCCUCCAAGGCUAAAUACUACUGACUGACCGAUAGUGAACCAGUACCGUGAGGGAAAGGCGAAAAGAACCCCUGUGAGGGGAGUGAAAUAGAACCUGAAACCGUGUACGUACAAGCAGUAGGAGCAGGCUUUGUCCUGUGACUGCGUACCUUUUGUAUAAUGGGUCAGCGACUUAUAUUCAGUGGCAAGGUUAACCAUCUAGGGGAGCCGUAGGGAAACCGAGUCUUAACUGGGCGUUCAGUCUCUGGAUAUAGACCCGAAACCAGGUGAUCUAGCCAUGGGCAGGUUGAAGGUUGAGUAACAUCAACUGGAGGACCGAACCGACUAAUGUUGAAAAAUUAGCGGAUGACUUGUGGCUAGGGGUGAAAGGCCAAUCAAACCUGGAGAUAGCUGGUUCUCCCCGAAAGCUAUUUAGGUAGCGCCUCGGACGAAUACUACUGGGGGUAGAGCACUGUUAAGGCUAGGGGGUCAUCCCGACUUACCAACCCUUUGCAAACUCCGAAUACCAGUAAGUACUAUCCGGGAGACACACGGCGGGUG
rnacentral:rRNA from 1 species